AACACAUGCAAGUCGCACGGUCAGCAAUGGCAGUGGCGGACGGGUGAGUAACACGUAGGAAUCUAUCCUGGGGUGGGGGACAACAGCGGGAAACUGCUGCUAAUACCGCAUGAUACCUGAGGGUCAAAGGCGCAAGUCGCCUUGGGAGGAGCCUGCGUCUGAUUAGCUAGUUGGUGGGGUAAAGGCCUACCAAGGCGACGAUCAGUAGCUGGUCUGAGAGGAUGAUCAGCCACAUUGGGACUGAGACACGGCCCAAACUCCUACGGGAGGCAGCAGUGGGGAAUAUUGGACAAUGGGGGCAACCCUGAUCCAGCAAUGCCGCGUGUGUGAAGAAGGUCUUCGGAUUGUAAAGCACUUUUGGCAGGGACGAUGAUGACGGUACCUGCAGAAUAAGCCCCGGCUAACUUCGUGCCAGCAGCCGCGGUAAUGCGAAGGGGGCUAGCGUUGCUCGGAAUGACUGGGCGUAAAGGGCGCGUAGGCGGCAUGUACAGUCAGAAGUGAAAUUCCUGGGCUCAACCUGGGGACUGCUUUUGAUACGUGCAAGCUAGAGUGAGGAAGAGGGUUGUGGAAUUUCCAGUGUAGAGGUGAAAUUCGUAGAUAUUGGAAAGAACACCGGUGGCGAAGGCGGCAACCUGGUCCUUUACUGACGCUGAGGCGCGAAAGCGUGGGGAGCAAACAGGAUUAGAUACCCUGGUAGUCCACGCUGUAAACGAUGUGUGCUGGAUGUUGGAAAACUUAGUUUUUCAGUGUCGUAGCUAACGCGAUAAGCACACCGCCUGGGGAGUACGGCCGCAAGGUUGAAACUCAAGGAAUUGACGGGGGCCCGCACAAGCGGUGGAGCAUGUGGUUUA
rnacentral:rRNA from 1 species